CAGUCGCCACGGGAAUACGUAGGUGGCAAGCGUUGUCCGGAAUUAUUGGGCGUAGAGGGCUCGCAGGCGGUUUCUUAAGUCUGAUGUGAAAGCCCCCGGCUCAACCGGGGAGGGUCAUUGGAAACUGGGAAACUUGAGUGCAGAAGAGGAGAGUGGAAUUCCACGUGUAGCGGUGAAAUGCGUAGAGAUGUGGAGGAACACCAGUGGCGAAGGCGACUCUCUGGUCUGUAACUGACGCUGAGGAGCGAAAGCGUGGGGCGAACAGGAUUAGAUACCCCAGUAGUCCCUGUCUCUUAUACAC
rnacentral:rRNA from 1 species